rnacentral:tRNA from 1 species
GGAAGCGUGGCCGAGUGGUUGAAGGCGCCGCUCUCGAAAAGCGGUAAGGGCGCAAGUUCUUCGUGAGUUCGAAUCUCACCGCUUCCGCCA